CCUACGGGGGGCAGCAGUGGGGAAUAUUGCGCAAUGGGCGAAAGCCUGAUGCAGCGACGCCGCGUGAGGGAUGAAGGUCUUCGGAUCGUAAACCUCUGUCAGCAGGGAAGAACGGUCACUGUGCUAAUCAGCAGUGAAUUGACGGUACCUGCAAAGGAAGCACCGGCGAACUCCAUGCCAGCAGCCGCGUGAAUACGGAGGGUGCGAGCGUUAAUCGGAAGUACUGGGCGUAAAGCGCUCGUAGGCGGUAUGUCAAGUCAAGGGUGAAAUCCCCGCGCUCAACGUGGGAACUGCCUUUGAAACUGGCAAACUGGAGUGUGUGAGAGGAUAGUGGAAUUCCAGGUGUAGGAGUGAAAUCCGUAGAUAUCUGGAGGAACAUCAGUGGCGAAGGCGACUAUCUGGCACAUAACUGACGCUGAGGAGCGAAAGCGUGGGUAGCAAACAGGAUUAGAUACCCUUGUAGUC
rnacentral:rRNA from 1 species